CCCUACGGGACGCAGCAGUGGGGAAUAUUGGGCAAUGGGCGCAAGCCUGACCCAGCAACGCCGCGUGAGUGAAGAGGUAUUUCGGUAUGUAAAGCUCUAUCAGCAGGGAAGAUAAUGACGGUACCUGACUAAGAAGCCCCGGCUAACUACGUGCCAGCAGCCGCGGUAAUACGUAGGGGGCAAGCGUUAUCCGGAUUUACUGGGUGUAAAGGGUGCGUAGGUGGCAGGGCAAGUCAGAUGUGAAAGCCCGGGGCUCAACCCCGGUACUGCAUUUGAAACUGUCCCGCUGGAGUGCAGGAGAGGUA
rnacentral:rRNA from 1 species